CUGUUGUGAUAUAUGUUGCCUUCUGCUGACUACUUGUUGACUUGUUUUGAUGCUAGAAAUAGUUUUAACCUCGACUAUUCAAGUCCUGAAGAAGGCUCAGACAUGAGCCGAAACGUCGACGAUGAAUAAAUGAGUUUCACAUAA